AUUAAGUUUCAUUUAAUAUAGGAUCUGCUCAAUGAUUUAUUAAAUAGCUGCAGUAUCUUGACUGUGCAAAGGUAGCAUAAUAAUUAGUCUUUUAAUUGAGGACUUGUAUGAAAGAUUUGAUGAGAAAUAAACUUUAUUAUUUAUAUAAUUAAAAUUUUAUUUUUAAGUAAAAAAGCUUAAAUUAUUUAAAGGGACGAUAAGACCCUAUAAAACUUUAUAAAUAUUAAUUUUGAUUUUUUUGGAUUUAUAAAUAUUUUAAUUUUAUUAUUUAUUUUAUUGGGGUGAUAAAAAAAAUUAUUAAACUUUUUUUAAAAUUUUACAUUAUUUAAUGGAUAUUUGAAUUAAAAUUUUUAGUUAUAGGAAAAAGUUACUUUAGGGAUAACAGCGUAAUUAAUUUUUUAAGUUCAAAUUUGAAAAUUAGUUUGCGACCUCGAUGUUGAAUUAAGAUUAAUCUUAGGUGCAAAAUUUUAAGUAUUAGGUCUGUUCGACCUUUAAAUUCUUACGUGA
rnacentral:rRNA from 1 species